UACGUAGGGGGCGAGCGUUGUCCGGAUUUACUGGGCGUAAAGGGCGCGCAGGUGGCUUGUUAGGUUCGUCGUUAAAGCCCGAGGCUCAACUUCGGGUGGUCGGCGGAGACCGGCAGGCUUCGAGGCCGGUAGAGGGAUGCGGAAUUCCCGGUGUAGAGGUGAAAUGCGCAGAUAUCGGGAAGAACACCCGUGGCGAAGGCGGCUCUCUGGGACGGUACUGACGCUGAGGCGCGAAAGCGUGGGGAGCGAACAGG
rnacentral:rRNA from 1 species